AUGGCCGGCGCGUCCUCGCCGCCCCCGACGCCCAAGUCGCCCAAGCUGCAGCCGCCGCUCCUCGAGCGCGCCAAGGGCCCCUCCGGCCUCGACAAGAUCGUGCUCCGCGACCCGCGCGGGUUCACCGCCGAGGUCCGUCUAUAUGGAGGGCAAGUUACCUCUUGGAAGAAUGAGCAGGGGGAUGAGUUACUUUUUGUAAGCAGCAAGGCAGUUUUCAAGUCUCCAGGAGCAAUUCGUGGUGGCAUACCCAUCUGCUUUCCCCAGUUUGGAACACAUGGAAAUCUUGAAAAACAUGGAUUUGCAAGGAACCGGCUAUGGCUCGUUGAUGAUAAUCCUCCACCACUCCCAGUAAACAGCGGUAUUAAAACUUAUGCAGAUCUCAUUCUGAAGCCUUCUGAAGAAGAUCUCAAGAUCUGGCCUCACAGAUUUGAAUUCCGGUUAAGAGUUGCUCUUGGACCCAAAGGAGAUUUGUUUCUUACUUCCCGAAUUAGAAACACCAACACUGAUGGAAAACCUUUCUCAUUUACAUUUGCAUAUCAUACAUACUUCUCCGUGUCUGACAUAAGCGAAGUACGUAUUGAAGGGCUGGAAACAAUGGACUACUUUGACAACCUGAAGGGAAAAGAGCGAUUCACAGAGCAGGGGGAUGCUCUUGUGUUUGAAUCAGAGAUUGAUAAAGUAUAUCUGGACACACCACCAAAAAUUGCAAUUAUUGAUCAUGAGAAGAAAAGAACAUUUGUGCUUAGGAAAGAUGGGCUUCCAGAUGCUGUUGUAUGGAACCCAUGGGAGAGGAGGUCAAAAACCAUUCUUGAUUUUGGUGAUGAAGAAUAUAAGCACAUGUUGUGUGUGGAGCCUGCAGCUGUUGAGAAGCCCAUUACCUUGAAGCCUGGUGAAGAGUGGAAAGGAAGGUUGGAGCUCUCAGCUGUUCCUUCCAGUUACUAUAGUGGUCAGUUAGAUCCAGACAAGGUUCUUCAUGGUUGA
rnacentral:rRNA from 1 species